rnacentral:rRNA from 1 species
UGGGGAAUAUUGCGCAAUGGGCGAAAGCCUGACGCAGCGACGCCGCGUGAGGGAUGAAGGUUUUCGGAUCGUAAACCUCUGUCAGAAGGGAAGAAACCGCACUGUGCUAAUCAGCAGUGCCUUGACGGUACCUUCAAAGGAAGCACCGGCUAACUCCGUGCCAGCAGCCGCGGUAAUACGGAGGGUGCAAGCGUUAAUCGGAAUUACUGGGCGUAAAGCGCACGUAUGCUGCUUUGUAAGUCAGGGGUGAAAUCCCACGGCUCAACCGUGGAACUGCCUUUGAUACUGCUUAGCUUGAAUCCGGGAGAGGGUGGCGGAAUUCCAGGUGUAGAAGUGAAAUCCGUAGAUAUCUGGAGGAACAUCAGUGGCGAAGGCGGCCACCUGGACCGGUAUUGACGCUGAGGUGCGAAAGCGUGGGGAGCAAACAGG